AGUGAACGCUGGCGGUAGGCCUAACACAUGCAAGUCGAACGGCAGCACAGUAAGAGCUUGCUCUUACGGGUGGCGAGUGGCGGACGGGUGAGGAAUACAUCGUACUCUACUCUUUCGUGGGGGUUAACGUAGCGAAACUUACGCUAAUACCGCAUACGACCUACGGGUGAAAGCAGUGGAUCUUCGGACCUUGCGCGAUUGAAUGAGCCGAUGUCGGAUUAGCUAGUUGGCGGGGUAAAGGCCCACCAAGGCGACGAUCCGUAGCUGGUCUGAGAGGAUGAUCGGCCACACUGGAGGUGAGACGCCGUCAAGACUCCUACGAGAGGCAGCAGUGGGGAAUAUUGGGCAGUGGGCGCGAGCCUGAUCCAGCCAGAGCGCGUGUGUGGAGAAGACCUUCGGGUUGUAAAGACCUUUUGUUGGGAGAGAAAAGCAGCAGGUUGAUACCAAGCUGUACUGACGGUACCCAAAGAAUAAGCACCGGCUAACUACGUG
rnacentral:rRNA from 1 species